AGCUCCAAUAGCGUAUAUUAAAGUUGUUGCGGUUAAAAAGCUCGUAGUUGGAUUUCUGUUGAAGACUGUCGGUCUGCUCUAUGAGCAUGUAUCUGAUGUGGCUUCGGCAUCCUCUUGAGGUGUGCUUAUGCGCUUGAUUGCGUGGGGCAGGCCCCAAGACUUUUACUUUGAGGAAAUUAGAGUGUUCACGGCAGGCAAGCGUCAUGAAUAUAUUAGCAUGGAAUAAUAAUAUAGGAUUUAGGUUCUAUUUUAUUGGUUUCUAGGACUUAGAUAAUGAUUAAUAGGGAUAAUUGGGGGCAUUUGUAUUAACUCGUCAGAGGUGGAAUUCUUGGAUUGAGUUACGACAAACUACUGCGAAAGCAUUUGCCAAGGAUGUUU
rnacentral:rRNA from 1 species